GAUGAACGCUGGCGGCGUGCCUAAUACAUGCAAGUCGAGCGAACAGACGAGGAGCUUGCUCCUCUGACGUUAGCGGCGGACGGGUGAGUAACACGUGGAUAACCUACCUAUAAGACUGGGAUAACUUCGAGAAACCGGCGCUACUACCGGAUAAUAUAUUGAACCGCAUGGUUCAAUAGUGAAAGACGGUUUUGCUGUCACUUAUAGAUGGAUCCGCGCCGCAUUAGCUAGUUGGUAAGGUAAAGGCUUACCAAGGCAACGAUGCGUAGCCGACCUAAGAGGGUGAUCGGCCACACUGGAACUGAGACACGGUACAGACUCCUACGGGAGGCAGCAGUAGGGAAUCUUCCGCAAUGGGCGAAAGCCUGACGGAGCAACGCCGCGUGAGUGAUGAAGGUCUUCGGAUCGUAAAACUCUGUUAUUAGGGAAGAACAAAUGUGUAAGUAACUAUGCACGUCUUGACGGUACCUAAUCAGAAAGCCACGGCUAACUACGUG
rnacentral:rRNA from 1 species